rnacentral:rRNA from 1 species
AAAAAAGAAAAGUGAGGAGCAGAAUAGAGAAUUUGGAGGGGAGGGUUGCCGAACAGCCCCAGCGUCACCGCCGACGCCUCGACCCCGCGCGCCCCCGCUCCUGCUCGCCGACCCCUCCCUCUCCGGAUCUCCAGCAUGUACGGCGGCGACGAGGUCUCAGCGAUCGUCAUCGACGUGGGCUCCUACAGCUGCAAGGCGGGCUACGCUGGCGACGACACCCCCAAAUGCGUCUUCCCCUCGGUUGUUGGUUCAACUGAACAAACGGGAGAUACUGAUGAAGCUAAGCCAGAAAAGGAGGCCGACUCUGGAUCAGAUCCUAAGAAUGGAUCCAAGCCUAUGGAUGUGGACAAAGCCAAGACAAAGCGCAAAUAUUAUGUAGGCCAAGAAUUAGAAUUCAGGAGGGAUCAUAUGGAGGUGAUCUCACCGCUGAAAGAUGGAACAGUUACUGAUUGGGAAGUUGUUGACAACAUAUGGAACCAUGCUUUUAGACAGCGGCUAUUGAUCAAUCCUGAAGAGCAUCCUAUGCUGAUAGCAGAACCAUCUACAAACAGUGGACAGCAAAGAGAGAAAGCAGCCGAACUUAUGUUUGAGAAGUACAAAGUGCCAGCGCUGUUCCUAGCAAAAAAUGCAGUUCUCACAUCUUUUGCAUCUGGACGUGCUACAUCUCUGGUGGUUGACUGUGGUGGCGGGUCUACUGUGGUUUCUGCUGUGCAUGAUGGUUAUGUGUUGCAAAAGUCUGUAGCAACUUCUCCAAUUGGUGGUGAAUUUUUAACUGACUGUAUGAUGAAAAGCUUGGAGAGCAAGGGCGUUGUUAUUAGGCCCAAGUAUUCAUUUAAGAAGAAGGAAGUGAGCCCUGGAGAUUAUAAGGUGGUAAUUUCUUUAACAUUACGUUUGAUAUAAAAAAAUCUUGUUUGCUUGUGAUUCCUUCAGACCAAGAGAUAACUCUUUAUACCAUUCGAUGUGCCCCUUUGUUGAAACGCCUUGUACUAUUGAAUAUGAGCUGGGCCGUUGGUAUAUUUGAAACCAACACACCAGCAAACAGAAGAGGGGCAACAUAUACAAUAUAUUUAUCUGACCAUGGAAAAACGCCACAGGCUGGUAUCUGAUCUCUAGGGGAUCCAUGUCUAACAAAAAAGGUGAGAGAGCCUGCAAGGUGGUCUCUCUACCUUCCCCUUGCUGAGUUCUUUUCUGGCACCCAAUUAAGUUUUACCACAUGGCAUAGGUCUGUAGAUAGACACUGAAUACCAUUUUGACAUUUCCAAUAUCAUGAAGUAACACUGUCCUGUUCAUUUUUCGUAGAUACAUGAGCACUAGGUGGUUCUCUGACUAAUAUCUGCCGGCCCUUCAAAAUUUAUUUAGUAUCUUUCUUCCUAUUUACGUGGUCUAUCUAAGGUUCUGAAUUUGCUGUGAUAAUUAAUUAAUCAUGGUUAAUUGGUUACAUUCGAAAUUAAUUAGCAUUAUGCUAUUUCUCUUUCUAACCACGCAAUUACAAGUACCUUUAUUGUUAUUCCCAAAAGGAGGGUCAAAAUGGGUAGAAUCGACAUCAGUUCAUAGACUUCUUUUAAUAAUUCCGAUUUCGAAAAAGAAUUGAUAGUUUCUACCUCUACCCUAUCUAUUAUCAUUUCAACGAUCAACUUCCCCCAUAAUAAUAUCUAUACUACUUAAUAUUGCCAUGAUAUCAGCCAAUUUCAUUUUUUUAACUAACGGAGGAAGAAUUUGCAAAUUAAUAAAACUGGGUGGACGAAUUUAUACAGAUGAAAACCUGAAGGAUCACACUAGACGGAUAUAAGGGAAACUAUGCAGUGUUUAUUCUGUGGACCCAUGUUUGUCUUUUUCAGGUUGUAGAUCUUGAUUUUCCAAACACGACGGAUAGUUACAGGUUAUACUGCAUGAGAGCCAUCGCUAGCGACAUCAAAGAGUCAGUUUGCAGAGUUCCAGAUACCCCCUUUGAUGAAGUGGCAUAUGCAAAUGUCCCUACAACUUCAUAUGAGCUUCCAGAUGGGCAAACUAUUGAAGUUGGUGCAGAUAGAUUCAAGAUUCCUGACAUUUUGUUCAACCCAUAUCUUUCUCAGACUAUUCCUGGCAUCGAUGGAUUUGGAGAUUCCACUUCAAUUCGCGGACUCCCACGAAUGGUCCUUGACAGUGUAAAUAGGUGUGAUGUUGACAUUCGCAAGGAAUUACUCAGCAACAUCUUGCUUUCUGGUGGCUCGUCAUCAAUUCUGCAGAUAAAAGAGCGCCUAGAAAAAGAAGUACUGGAGGAGUCCCCUCAAAAUGCUCGCGUAAAGGUUUUGGCAAGUGGAAGUUCAAUGGAGAGGCGUUUCAGUGUUUGGAUUGGAGGGAGCAUUCUUGCAUCUCUCGGGUCGUUCCAGCAAAUGUGGUUCUCCAAAGCAGAGUACGAGGAGCAUGGCGUUUCCUAUAUCCAGAGGAAAUGCCCAUGAAAUGGUUCAACAUGCUGCCUGAGCAGAGCUUUGUGCUGCCGAAAGAUGUAGUAUGUGGGCAACAGUUAGGUGCACCUUGUUAUCUGGGGAUGUUUAUUCUUGUGAUGACUAAAUUAGUUUUGAGGCAUGCGCAGCGCAAGUUGAGAACAAGCUCAGCUGAUACUUUGCCAUUGAUGGUAGAUAGUAGCAAUUCAUGUGCUGAUUUUUUUCGUCCGCGAUGUACCGAGUAUUGUAUUUACUCAUGUACUCUCCGGGAGUGAAAUCUUUAACCAUCUUUUUUUUGGACCUUGAUAAGUGCCACACGUGUGGCUGUGACACGAAACAAUUUCAUCCUGACGUUUUUUUUGACAACUUUAGUUAACCGGGGAUGGCAACUUUAGUUGUGAAAAUGGUAACUUUCCAUUUGGAUGGCAAGUUUCUUUUUUUGGGGCGUUUUGUUCUUUUUUGGAUGGCAAUUUUUGUUGUAAAAACAUCAGGCCGGUGCUACUUUGUGUUACACGUGUGACACUUAUCAUUUGUUUUUUU